rnacentral:lncRNA from 1 species
GUUUGGGUUAAAAUAACCAAAACAUUGAGAACAAUUCCUUUUCCAAUGAUCCAUUUUUUUCUAAAAAAGCAUUCUGUCUGGAUUGUGGUUAGUCUUAAACUUCUUGAUCAAUUAGCUCAAAAAUUAUACUCAACUUCUGAUACUAGCUAUCGAAGUUAGGUCCGAUAACAUUGUCACUGUCUAACAGUGAACAGAGCGACAAUAUUCUAAUCAUUUCUAAAAAGAGAAUAAUUAACCUAUUAGUGUAUGAACUAUUUUAAGCCUAAAAACUUGAACUUUAGUCUAAAGGUUCUCCGACUAUUUUCUACGAAUUGAUAGCCUCUACCUCCGAUUCGAAGAAUUACUUUAAUUCCUUAAUGGGUGCUAGAAUCCAUACAGACUGCAUUCGAGCCCGAGUGUGGCUCGACCAACCCUAAUGCAUCCAUGGAUAGGUUCAUAACUAAUUGUUUCUCCAAACAAUUUCUAGCAAUCAGAUUUUGCCCCAGGUAUCUCCUCAGCAGGCAUGUGGCCUCUCCACUGAAAAAUCCGAUUAGGUCUAACUAUUAACAUGACUACAUCAAAUGCAUCCAGCAAACAAAUGUUCAGACCCGAGUAUGGCUCGGCCAACCUGACCAUUGAUCUGAAAGACACAACAAGACGGUCAUAUGAUGAAUGAUAAUUCUAAUACCCAAUAGACACCAGACGUGUGGCGCCUCCAAUACCUAUUUAGAAUAUUGGAUGCAUUAUCAUAUACUUUAAUGGGAGGCUAUGAUCUAGUUAUCCCAUAACUAGCUCAUUUUAUGGACCUAAUAAUUUAGAGAAUUUGGUUAAUACAUUUUAGAAGACAUCAGUCGACCUGCAAGUCUUAAAUCCUUCUACUAACUUCACCAAGUCAUGUAAAGGACUAAAGACUAGCUAGUCCAACUAGCAAGUCAUAAAUCCUCCCACUGCCUUCAUUAAGUCAUGAGAAGGACUGAGACAAGCCGGUCCAGGGCACCUAAAUCAGUCAUACUGAUUAACCUUAACGAUAAAGGUCAACUCGAGUCACCUAACGAUCUAAUCAGUCCAAUGACUCGGGCUCAACCAUUGGCCUCGAUCAAGGUCCAUUUGAUUUAAUCAAAGAUAUGGACUUGACCAACUAUAACUAUCAUGUUUGAUCUAGAGUAUCCUUGACCUAAUCUAAAUCAACUAUUGGUUAGAUUUGAUCAACUACUCUUUUAGUCAAUUAAGUCUUUGAUUCUAACCUUAGGUCUAAUCCAAUUAAAAGAAUCUGAUUUGAGCUAACCCAUAUCCCAUAUUUUAUGCAAUGUCAUUAAAUCUUUAAUCACAAUUCUAAAUCUAAAAUACAUAUUUUAAUUCUUAAUUAAGUAUAGCAUUAACAUAGAUUAAAAUUAUUAAUUGAAACCAUUUCAACGUGUAAAACAAUUUUACAUCCUUUUUAUGCAAAAUUUUCUGUUCUGAAAACUAGGUCGACUCACCCCCGAACUGAGUCGGCUCACUUUAGUAAGUCGACUAAGUCUGAUACUUGAUCAACUAACUGAUCAUGAAUAGUAACUAUUACCGUUCGGCCUGAGACAACUUGAUCGGGUCAGUCAGCACUAAAUCGAUUAAACCAAGAGACUAAGUCGACAUGGUUCAAAACUGAGUCGGCUCAAUUGGCAUGCCAACGGAUAUCAUAUAGUUUCAGAUCUGAAAAUUCUCGCAUAAACUGAAAUAAAAUCAAUCAUAACAAAUUUUUAGAUCUUAUCUAAAUAUUUUAUGAUUCUAAAUUUUA